AGUACAAAGUGAAACUGCGAAUGGCUCAUUAUAUAAGUUAUCGUUUAUUUGAUAUUGCCUAUCCUACAUGGAUAACAGUGGUAAUUCUAGAGCUAAUACAUGCUGAAAAUCCCGACUUCGGAAGGGACGUAUUUAUUAGAAUCAGAACCAAUGCCCUUCGGGGCUUCUUGGUGACUCAUGAUAACUCCACAGAUCGCAUGGCCUUGCGCCGGCGAUGGCUCAUUCAAAUUUCUUCCCUAUCAACUUUCGACGGUACGGUAUUGGCCUACCGUGGUUGUAACGGGUGACGGAGGGUUAGGGCUCGACCCCGGAGAGGGAGCCUGAGAAACGGCUACCACAUCCAAGGAAGGCAGCAGGCGCGCAAAUUAUCCAAUCCCGACACGGGGAGAUAGUGACAAUAAAUACCGAUACAGGGCUCUUUUGGGCCCUGUAAUUGGAAUGAGUACAAUUUAAACCUCUUAACGAGGAACAAUUGGAGGGCAAGUCUGGUGCCAGCAGCCGCGGUAAUUCCAGCUCCAAUAGCGUAUAUUAAAGUUGUUGUGGUUAAAAAGCUCGUAGUCGAACCUCGAGCCUGGCCGGCCGGUCCGCCUCACCGCGUGCACUGGUCUGGCCGGGCUCUUCCCUCUGCGGAACCGCAUGUCCUUCACUGGGCGUGUCGGGGAGGCAGGACUUUUACUUUGAAAAAAUUAGAGUGCUCAAGGCAGGCCAAUGCUCGAAUACAUUAGCAUGGAAUAAUAGAAUAGGACGUUGGUUCUAUUUUGUUGGUUUCUAGGACCGCCGUAAUGAUCAAUAGGGACGGUCGGGGGCAUCAGUAUUCAGCCGUCAGAGGUGAAAUUCUUGGACCGGCUGAAGACUAACUACUGCGAAAGCAUUUGCCAAGGACGUUUUCGCUGAUCAGGAACGAAAGUUAGGGGAUCGAAGACGAUCAGAUACCGUCGUAGUCUUAACCAUAAACUAUGCCGACUAGGGAUCGGGCGGCGUUCUUUCUAGACCCGCUCGGCACCUUUCGAGAAAUCAAAGUG
rnacentral:rRNA from 1 species